rnacentral:rRNA from 1 species
CCUACGGGGGGCAGCAGUGAGGAAUAUUGGUCAAUGGACGAGAGUCUGAACCAGCCAAGUAGCGUGAAGGAUGACUGCCCUAUGGGUUGUAAACUUCUUUUAUAAAGGAAUAAAACGAGGCACGUGUGCCUUUUUGCAUGUACUUUAUGAAUAAGGAUCGGCUAACUCCGUGCCAGCAGCCGCGGUAAUACGGAGGAUCCGAGCGUUAUCCGGAUUUAUUGGGUUUAAAGGGAGCGUAGAUGGGUUGUUAAGUCAGUUGUGAAAGUUUGCGGCUCAACCGUAAAAUUGCAAUUGAUACUGGCAGUCUUGAGUACAGUUGAGGUAGGCGGAAUUCGUGGUGUAGCGGUGAAAUGCUUAGAUAUCACGCAGAACUCCGAUUGCGAAGGCAGCUUACUAAGCCAUAACUGACACUGAAGCACGAAAGCGUGGGGAUCAAACAGGAUUAGAUACCCCAGUAGUC